rnacentral:rRNA from 1 species
CCUACGGGAGGCAGCAGUGAGGACUAUUGGUCAAUGGGCGCGAGCCUGAACCAGCCAAGUCGCGUGAGGGAUGACGGUCCUAUGGAUUGUAAACCUCUUUUGUCGGGGAGCAAAAGACGCCACGCGUGGCGCUCCGAGAGUACCCGAAGAAAAAACAUCGGCUAACUCCGUACCAGCAGCCGCGGUAAUACGGAGGAUGCGAGCGUUAUCCGGAUUUAUUGGGUUUAAGGGGUGCGCAGGCGGAAGAUCAAGUCAGCGGUAAAAUUGAGGGGCUCAACCUCUUCGAGCCGUUGAAACUGGUUGUCUUGAGUGCGCGAGAAGUAUGCGGAAUGCGUGGUGUAGCGGUGAAAUGCUUAGAUAUCACGCAGAACCCCGAUUGCGAAGGCAGCAUACCGGCGCUCAACUGACGCUCAUGCACGAAAGUGUGGGUAUCGAACAGGAUUAGAUACCCUAGUAGUC